UGUUGUUGUGUUUUGUCGAGUGAAAACUGCGAUUGUAGCCGGGGCUGCUGUCCAGGAAGUAGGGCGCUGUGCGCUGGUUCUCUUGCCCAUAUAUGGAAGAGGCGGUGACAGAGCACACCUGGUGGGGAUGAGACAGCCUGAGUUAAAGAGCCACACUGGAUCAUCAGCUGGCCUUUCUAACAGAUAUUACCAUCACCUGAACUCUGUCAACCUGCAGCUCCAGGGAAGAGACAAGUUGCCAAGUGACAUGAUGAGGGCAAUCAGAGCUUUCCAGAACAAAACAACUGCUCUGUGGAUAUCUGACAAAGACCUCACACACUUCCCAGGACUGAAAGAAAAAGCCAAAAGUGAGCGUACUCUGCAGCAGAGCUUCAGCUACAGUGGUUUAGUUGAAGUUUUGGAGCUGAGUGGGGAGUUUGAAUCCAGGUUCAGUGAUGUGAAUGAACAUAAGGGCAUUUUUAAUCUUAGUGAAAAUCCCUUUCAUGUGGAUAUAUCCUCUCUUACACCAACCAUCACACAGCUCUGCCCUAACAGCCGCGCCUCUCUUCAAAGUGAAAUAAUUGAGCUGCAAGCAAAUGACUUUCUCCAAGCUGAACACAGAGCAGGUGUUGGUAACUUCUGGAGCUUGGUUUCUGAAGCAGACUUUGCCAACUUCA